rnacentral:misc_RNA from 1 species
UCUCCGUAGGUGAACCUGCGGAGGGAUCAUUACAGAGUUCUCGCCCUCGCGGGUAGAUCUCCCACCCACUGUUAUCGUUACUGUGUUGCUUUGGCGGGCCGCCGGGCCCCGCUCGGCCGCCGGCUCCGGCUGGCGCGCGCCCGCCAGAGGCCCAGCAAACUCUGAAUGUUAGUGUCGUCUGAGUACUAUAUAAUAGUUAAAACUUUCAACAACGGAUCUCUUGGAUCUG